rnacentral:rRNA from 1 species
UCAUAAUAACUUCUCGAAUCGCAUGCCUUGUUGCGGCGAUGCUUCAAUUCAAAUAUCUGCCCUUAUCAACUUUCGAUGGUAGGAUAGAGGCCUACCAUGGUUUCAACGGGUAACGGGGAAUAAGGGUUCGAUUCCGGAGAGGGAGCCUGAGAAACGGUACCACAUCCAAGGAAGGCAGCAGGGCGCAAAUUACCCAAUCCCGACACGGGGAGGUAGUGACAAUAAAUAACAAUAUAGGGCUCUUUCGGGUCUUAUAAUUUGGGGAAUGAGGUUACAAAUUUUAAAAUCCCUUUAAGAGGGAACAAUUGGGAGGGCAAGGUUCUUGGGUUGGCAAGAAGGCCGGGGGUAAAUUUCCAGGGUUCCCAAAUUAGGCGUUAUUAUUAAAAG